rnacentral:miRNA from 15 species
GUGGGCAGCAGAAGGAGAAUUCCAAAGGGAUCGCAUUGAUCUCUGUCUGCUGAACAGUUUUGAGCGGUCAUGCGAUUCCUCUGGAAUUUCCCAUCUGUUGCUGAA